AAUUAGUCGGGAGCUAAUGCCGUUCUCCUAACGAGGCCAUGAUAGGCCGAAAUUAAUU
rnacentral:hammerhead_ribozyme from 15 species